rnacentral:rRNA from 1 species
CUAGCGACUUCAGAGUUUGAUCCUGGCUCAGGACGAACGCUGGCGGCGUGCCUAACACAUGCAAGUCAACGGGGUAAAGACUCGGUUUUUACUUAGUGGCGAACGGGUGAGUAACGCGUGAGAAACCUGCCUCUCAGUGGGGGACAACAGUUGGAAACGACUGCUAAUACCGCAUAAUGUUUUUUGGACCGCAUGGUCUGAAACCAAAGCUUUAUGUGCUGAGAGAUGGUCUCGCGUCUGAUUAGCUAGUUGGUGAGGUAACGGCUCACCAAGGCGACGAUCAGUAGCCGGUCUGAGAGGAUGAACGGCCACAUUGGGACUGAGAUACGGCCCAG